rnacentral:rRNA from 1 species
CGUACACUCCUGCGGGAGGCAGCAGUGGGGAAUAUUGGACAAUGGGCGCAAGCCUGAUCCAGCCAUGCCGCGUGAGUGAUGAAGGCCCUAGGGUUGUAAAGCUCUUUCACCGGUGAAGAUAAUGACGGUAACCGGAGAAGAAGCCCCGGCUAACUUCGUGCCAGCAGCCGCGGUAAUACGAAGGGGGCUAGCGUUGUUCGGAUUUACUGGGCGUAAAGCGCACGUAGGCGGACUAUUAAGUCAGGGGUGAAAUCCCGGGGCUCAACCCCGGAACUGCCUUUGAUACUGGUAGUCUUGAGUUCGAGAGAGGUGAGUGGAAUUCCGAGUGUAGAGGUGAAAUUCGUAGAUAUUCGGAGGAACACCAGUGGCGAAGGCGGCUCACUGGCUCGAUACUGACGCUGAGGUGCGAAAGCGUGGGGAGCAAACAGGAUUAGACACCCUAGUAGUCC